GUUAGGGUUAGAGGUAGGGUUAGGGUUAGGGUUAGGGUUAGGUUAGGGUUAGUGUAAGAGUUAGGGUUAGGGUUAGGGUAAGGGUUAAGGUUAGGGUUAGGGUUAGGGUUAGGUAAGUUUUAGGG